AUUGAACGCUGGCGGCAGGCCUAACACAUGCAAGUCGAACGAGUGGCGGACGGGUGAGUAAUGUCUGGGAAACUGCCUGAUGGAGGGGGCUAACUACUGGAAACGGUAGCUAAUACCGCAUACCAUCGGAUGUGCCCAGAUGGGUUUAGCUAGUAGGUGGGGUAAAGGCUCACCUGGGCGACGAUCCCUAGCUGGUCUGAGAGGAUGACCAGCCACACUGGAACGGAGACACGGUCCAGACUCCUACGGGAGGCAGCAGUGGGGAAUAUUGGACAAUGGGCGCAAGCCUGAUGCAGCCAUGCCGCGUGUAUGAAGAAGGCCUUCGGGUUGUAAAGUACUUUCAGCGGGGAGGCGUUACCCGCAGAAGAAGCAACGGCUAACUACGUGCCAGCAGCCGCGGUAAUAC
rnacentral:rRNA from 1 species